rnacentral:rRNA from 1 species
GAUGAACGCUGGCGGCGUGCCUAAUACAUGCAAGUCGAGCGAACAGGCGAUGAGCUUGCUGCUCUGACGUUAGCGGCGGACGGGUGAGUAACACGUGGAUCACCUACCUAUAAUACUGGGAUAACUUCGGAACACCGGAGCUAACAGCGGAUGAUAUAUUGAACCGCAUGGUUCAUUAGUGAAAGACGGUUUUGCGGUCACGUAUAGAUGGAUCCGCGCCGCAUUGGCGGGUUGGUAAGGUAACGGCUUACCAAGGCAACGAUGCGUAGCCGAGAUGAGAGGCUGAGCGGCCACACUGGAACUGAGACACUGUCCAGACUCCUACGCGAGGCAGCAGUAGGGAAGCUUCCGCAAUGGGCGAAAGCCUGACGGAGUAACGCCGCGUGAGUGAUGAAGGUCUUCGGAUCGUAAAACUGUGUUACUAGGUAAGAACAAAUGUGUAAGUAACUAUGCACGUCUUGACGGUACCUAAUAAGAAAGCCACGGCUAACUACGUG